GACGAACGCUGGCGGCGUGCUUAACACAUGCAAGUCGAACGAAGAGCGACGGAAGCUUGCUUUUAUCAAUCUUAGUGGCGAACGGGUGAGUAACGCGUAAUCAACCUGCCCUUCAGAGGGGGACAACAGUUGGAAACGACUGCUAAUACCGCAUACGAUCUAACCUCGGCAUCGAGGAUAGAUGAAAGGUGGCCUCUACAUGUAAGCUAUCACUGAAGGAGGGGAUUGCGUCUGAUUAGCUAGUUGGAGGGGUAACGGCCCACCAAGGCGAUGAUCAGUAGCCGGUCUGAGAGGAUGAACGGCCACAUUGGGACUGAGACACGGCCCAGACUCCUACGGGAGGCAGCAGUGGGGAAUCUUCCGCAAUGGACGAAAGUCUGACGGAGCAACGCCGCGGGAGUGAUGACGGCCUUCGGGUUGUAAAGCUCUGUUAAUCGGGACGAAAGGCCUUCUUGCGAAUAGUGAGAAGGAUUGACGGUACCGGAAUAGAAAGCCACGGCUAACUACGUG
rnacentral:rRNA from 1 species